AAAUAAUAUAAAUGAAUUUUUUUGGUUAUGAAUAAAUAAAUAAAACAAAUAAAAUAAUAUUUUUUAGGUGAAAUUUAAAAUAUUAAUAUUUUUUUUUUGUAAUUGAUUUCUAUAAAUUAAAUUUAAAACUAGGAUUAGAUACCCUAUUAUUACAACUUAAUAAGUAUUCCUUAUAAUUAAUAGUUAUGUUCUUUAAAAUAAAAAGAUUUGGCGGUAUUUUACACUUGUUAGAGGAACCUGUUUUAUAAUUGAUAAUCCACGAUUAGACCAACUUUUUUUUAGUUUACAUAUCGUUGUUUAAAAUAUUUUUUUAGAAUAUAUUUAAAAUUUAAAUUAUAAAUUAAUUCAGAUCAAGAUGUAGCGUAUAAAAAAGAAAUAAUGGGUUACAUUGUUAAUAAAUUUGGUAAAAAAUUUUUAAAAUUUUUGAAUAUUGGAUUUAAGAGUAAAUAUUAAUAUUUAUUAAUAUUGAAAAAAGUUCUAAAAU
rnacentral:rRNA from 1 species